AUUGAACGCUGGCGGCAGGCCUAACACAUGCAAGUCGAGCGAGCGGCGGACGGGUGAGUAAUGUCUGGGGAUCUGCCCGAUAGAGGGGGAUAACUACUGGAAACGGUAGCUAAUACCGCAUACCAUCGGAUGUGCCCAUAUGGGAUUAGCUAGUAGGUGGGGUAAAGGCUCACCUAGGCGACGAUCUCUAGCUGGUCUGAGAGGAUGACGAGCCACACGGUAACUGAGCCACGGCCCAGACGCCUACGGGAGGCAGCAGUGGGGAAUAUUGCACACUGGGCGCAAGCCUGAUGCAGCCAUGCCGCGUGUAUGAAGAAGGCCUUCGGGUUGUAAAGCACUUUCAGCGGGGAGGCGUUACCCGCAGAAGAAGCACCGGCUAACUCCGUGCCAGCAGCCGCGGUAAUAC
rnacentral:rRNA from 1 species